rnacentral:miRNA from 1 species
GUUUAGCCUAAGUCGUCUUA